rnacentral:rRNA from 1 species
UCGUCGUGGGCGCAGCCUGAUGCAGCGACGCCGCGUGAGGGAUGACGGCCUUCGGGUUGUAAACCUCUUUCAGUAGGGAAGAAGCGAGAGUGACGGUACCUGCAGAAGAAGCGCCGGCUAACUACGUGCCAGCAGCCGCGGUAAUGAC